rnacentral:lncRNA from 1 species
ACAUUUGCCAAUGUAGUGUUCCAGACAGUUUUAUCAUCCACAUUGCUGACCUGGAAGAUGCAUCAUUGUCUAUGAUAUCUGCAAUGGAAAUGAUCACUAGGCAAUUUCAGCCUUGCAAAUCUAACUGUGGCGUGUGGAAAGAAGAGGAACCAGAAAAGAAUGUUUGUGAAGUUCUGGCUUGAAUCUCGUGCCGGGAGUGUGAAGAAGGUCCUUGCUUCCCCUUCACCUUCUGCCAUGAUUCUAAGUUUCCUGACGCCUCCCAGCCGUGCUUCCUGUUAAGCCUGUGAAACUCCUUUGGAAUGAGUACACAUCCAGGAGUGAAGAAGACAAGCUCAACUGCCAUUCUCUGAGCAGUUCAAGGCAUACUGAGUUGCGGGAGUUGUGUGGUGGUCCACUCUGACUGCAAGCACCCCUUUCUUGAACCGAACAGAGUCAAGUGGAAUCAAAGGACAUUACCUGUUGAUUCUUGGGCAAGGCCCAGAAUUUGGUGGACAUACUUAAAGAAGAAAGGAAUCUUCAGCUAAAGUGUCUACGAUCAAUUCAGAUUUGGAGGGCAUGGAUCUUCUGACAGUAGGGGCCAUUCUAGGAUUUUUUGGUUGAAGAGAUGAACUUCAACUUGGUUCCAGAUGGGUGGUCCAGCUAUUCUGCUGACAACAUUUUUCAGGGCAAGGCUUUUGCUACUGGAAUGAUUUAAGGAAGAUCCCUCAGUGUUUCAGAGUAAAGAUAUUUCUAAAGAAGUACCUGUGUCAUUGCCCAUCUUGAAGAUUGACUUUUAUGGAUUGCUCAAAUACUGAUAUCAGCUCAAUGUCAAUAUAUACUCCUACAUAUAAAAUCCAUCUUCUAAUCAUAAUCACUAGGUGGAUAUUGUUAUGCAAGGAAGAGAUGUGAAUAUACAGGAAAUGAGAUCCUUAAAGGGGUUGCCGUCCAGAUGUUAGAUCAAAGAGAUUAUGAUUCAUUCAACCAAGUCGCUGGACUUUUGAAGGCCUAUCCAAGUCAUGGUGCCUUUGAGGUUGCGCCUGUUACUAUUCAAAACUUGGUUUUAACCAUUUAAGGCCAUGAGGUGUGAGGUCUUUUGAGAGUGAAAGAACUCAUAUUAAUCCAGCUCCUGACUCCUAAAAAAACAGUAACUCUUGUAAUUAAAAUGGGCAGAGUCCAUCAAGAAGCAGUGUCCAGAAGCACUGGGCCAUGUGGCGAGCAGCAGUGUCACCAGGAAACAUGCCGAGCUGGGUCAGGAACUGCGCAAGGAGGAGGAGACACUGCUCCUGUUGAAGGCAGCCCUCGCAUGACCUGCUGAAUCACAUCAAGGUUGAAGCAUUGGCCCUCCAAUCAAUGAUUAGUUCUGGGAGAGGGGAUGAGGUGCUGUCUUCUCCAACUUCUCCAACUGUGCCUGAACAGUCACACGUCAUGUCAGUGCAUAUAGAGAAUGAAGCAUCAGUCAACCAAACUACGCUGGAGUGGAGCAUAGAGUCCUGUGACAGAAGAGGAGGAGGAAGAGAAAGAAGAAUCAGAUCCCUAAAGGAGGGAAAAAGCCAGGAUUCAUUAUACAAAUUAAAUUUCUAAGUCUCAGGCUCUUUCUCCCCAAGGAAAUCAUCUUGCCAUGAGCCCUAGGGCCUGCUUGAAUGGAGAGCAAGAACUAUAGGAGGAUGUGUAGCUGCAAAAAUUUCUCAUCAAUAACUCAAUCUUCAGAACGUUAUGACAUACAGAAAAUCAAAGAUGCUGUGUCUUAGCAUUGAGCAAUAUGGGUGGUGCUAUGUCUGUAGUCUGGUCAAAUUCAGUAACUGUGUUCAAAACAAAAUUUCCUCUGGAAUACUAUUGAGAAAAUCUGGCAUUUGCAAAAAGGGCAGAGUUUAAAUAUGAGCCAGUCUUUCCAAUCAACAAUACCUCUUUUAAGAAAACCAACUAACAGCUGUUUGCAUGCCGUUGAAUCCUUGUGAGCAGUUAGGCCACAGUCUAGGACAGAAAGAUGACACGGGGAAGGACUGAGGGCCAUCUGAGAACAAAAGUUGUUGCUACUUCUCAGAGGCAUUGAGACACACUGCAUGCUGUAGACUGCUUUGUGUAACUGUUGUCACAUCUUGCUUGAGAUGUCAUUGGCAGAAUGUUCUUAAAAAUAAAUUAUAGAUAAAUAGCCAUCAUGGAGUUUGCUGGUUUCUAGAUAGCAAAAGAGAAAAGAAGCAGUUCCUGCCUGGCCCGGUGGCUCAUGCCUGUAAUCCCAGCACUUUGGGAGGCUGAGGUGAGUAGAUCACUUGAGGUCAGGAGCUCGAGACCAACCUGGCCAACAUGGUGAAACCCUGUCUCUAUUAAAAAUACAAAAAUUAGCUGGGCAUGGUGGCAUGCGCCUGUAAUCCCAGCUACUCAGGAGGCUGAGGCAGGAUAAUCACUUGAACUCAGGAGGUGGAGGUUGCAGUGAGCCGAGAUUUUGCCAAUGCACUCCAGCUGGGGCAACAGAGCGAGACUCUGUCUCAAAAAAAAAAAAAAAAAAAAAAAAAAAGAAAAAGAAAAAGAAAAAAGAAAAAAAAAAGAAGCAGUUCUUCCUCUAAUGAAAAGAUACAACAAGAUAGUUUGAAAUUCAUUUCUGGCCCUUAGAGAAGAAGUGUGCCAUGCUUGGAAGACUGGAUUUUUAUAACAGAGAUGGCAGCUACAGAAUAAGAGUUGUUGAUACUUGGGAUCUGAAGUAGAGAUCAUUUCUGCAUACUGUCCCUUUUCCACUCACUAUACAGUGAAAUGAGUAGUUGCUGAAUAUUAUAAAAUUAAUUUUCCCUGCCAAAGCAACAGUGAAAGCCAAACAAAAUACAAAUAACCUUCUCAAGCAGAAUUUAUGUAAAAGUUCCCAGAGAAACAUGGAUACCCUUUUUUGUUAAUCAGUAUUUCAUUAAAGUUAUGUUGAGUUACUCUUAGAGAAAACAGACAAAAAAAAUUGCAGCAUAUGUAACAGUUAAAAGAAUUAAUAACUGCAAUAUGUAAAGAGUAACACUAGUUAAUUAGUAAAAACAAAUAACCAAUAAUACAUGGACAAAGAAUAAGAAAUUCACAGAAGAAAUACAGUUAUUAGUGAGAAGCAAUGGCUCACGCCUGUAAUCCCAGCACUUUGGGAGGCCGAGGUGGGCAGAUCACCUGAGGUCAGGAGUUCGAGACCAGUCUGGCCAACAUGGUGAAACCCUGUCUCUACUGGCAAAUACAAAAAUUAGCCAGGUGUGGUGGCGGACACCUGUAAUCCCAGCUACUCAGGAAGCUGAGGCAGGAGAACCACUUGAACCUGGGAGGUAGAGGUUGCAGUGAGCCGAGAUCAGGCCAUUGCACUCCAGCUUGGGCGGGAAGAGUGAAACUCCAUCUCACAAAAAAAAAAAAAAAAAAAGAAAGAAAAGAAAUGCAGUUAUCUAAUUAAACACAUUAACAUUUGCUUAGCUUCUUCACUAGUGCUAAGAGGAAUUAAAGCAAUGAGAUAUGAUUUUUACAAAAAUGGGUAUGAUUUAAAAUCAGUUUUGUCUGAUAGUAUGUUCUGAUGAAACUGUGGGGAAACCAGCAUUCUCAUACAUGCUUGUUGGUGCAUAAACCAACAUGACUAUCUUCAUGGGCAUUUUGGCAAUAUCUGUUAAAGUGAGAAAUAUGCAUUCUCUAUGUCCUUGCACUUUCUCUUUUCCGUAUCUAUCUCAGAAAAAAAAAACAGCCUUAUGAAGUAAAUUUAGGGACACAGUGGAGCAGCUAGCACACAGGUAGAUGCAGAACCAAACCUCUGCUUUGGGCCUUAGUGUCCAAGCCUGGAAACAAAAGGGGUUUGAUUAUGUGAUCUGUAAAGUUUUCUUUAGUUCUAAAUAUUACACAUCUCUUACAUGAAAUUCAGUAAUGAGUGGAUGAAAACAUUUUAAGUAAUCUUCUACUAUUAACAAGUUCAGUGGUUUUAUUUUUAUCAUUUUCUAGAGUAGUGAUUCUUAGAGGUUAAAUUCCUUUCUGUGGAGGUUCUGCAUUCUUCCUUACAUUGAUGAAUAGAAGCUUCUCUAGAAAGAAGCAAAACAAUUUCCAGCAAAAUUAAGUAUGGGUCAGCUACAAUUAUUGAAGACUGUUUACUAACCAAAAAAGGAGCUUAUAAACUGACUUGUGAGCAGCUGUUUUCCAAUGGAACAUUAUUGGUUAUUGAAACCCUGCAACAGGAGAAAACCUGGUCCUAACAUCUAGUUAUGUGUAUCUAUUUUUGAGACCAACUGUAAGAAUUGAUUUGAGCAUCUUGCUUUGGGUUCUUAAAAUAUGUUAUCCCAGACCUUUAAGUACUGUGAAUAAUAAAAACUUCAGAGUCCUAUCUCAAGUUGAUCCUUCUCUUGCAAAAUUACUUUGUCCUGAAAUCUCCCAGCAGAGCACCAGUGCAACUGUCUGGAGCUCAAGCUGGAGUUGGCCAUGUCUGAGCUGUUCUGCAGCCAACUCAGAAUGUAGAUUUCUUUUUCUGUCUGCUGGAUCUAUUCCCUAUAGUCCUUCACCCUGUGUUACAUAGACGAAUUUUGUUAAAAGCUACUCUUUUG